UACAGGGGCAGGAGCAACACAACAGAGCAGGAAAUCUGACAGUUUCCAAUGGAGAAAUCUGAAUAAGGAUUGCCUCUUAAAUCAGGCUGUAACCAGGUGUCUUUACUUAAGAGCUACUGUAUUUUUCAGACUGUAAGACUCACCGGAGUAUAAGACGCACCAUGAUUUUGAAGAGGUAAUCUGAGUAAGAUCUACAGCAGUACUUCCCAAAUAGCUGAAGAAAUGUGACCAACAUUUUCCCCUCCAAGCAUAUUGAGAGAGGUGGUGAGAUGGAGAGCUGAGUAUUCAGUGAACAAAAGCAUGGUGCAGAAUGGAGAAACUAUACAUUCAGAGCUGGGAGCAAAGUCUUCUGGUUUUCUUUCUUAUGUUUUGAGAGUGACAAUCUUUCUUUUUCAAAACGAUGAUACUUUUACAGCAUGGGUAAAAAAAUGAAAACUGGCAGCGUAGAAGCAAGUAAAACAUGUUCGUAUAUGAUUCUUGGAUGACUAAUUGCUCAUUCUCCAAUACAUUUAAUAGGAACUUGUGUCUUAAAAUAAAACAGAGUGAUGCAGAAAACAAAAUAUUGAGAACCAUAGCAGAGGAGAAAAAAAAACCCAUAAGCUUUCAAAUUAUUUUCUGAGUAGAACAAGGCAGAAAACAAACGACCACUAGAAUGUGUUUUUAGGUUGCUUUAAUCAAAGAUGAAUAUACGUAAAUGGCUUAGAGACAAUAUUUCUUCGUCAUCAUCAACAUAAGAAUAACCAGCUUUCAAUAUCUCUCUGGUCUCCCAAAAUGUUCACGGUUGGACCACCCAUCAGGCCAAUCAACAAGGACAGUAGUAAAUUGUUCAAAAUACAUUGAGGGCACCAGGAUGCCUCUACCUGAAAUUAUUCUACUUCAAAUACAUUAUGCAAAGACACAGUUCUCUGAAAAGGCUUUAAUGCAAGAAAAGGGGAAACGAAAGAGAAGAUGACAGCAGCAAGAUAGAUGGACUCAGUUACAGUGGUGAUGAGUGUAUUAUUUAAACACCCAAAAAACCAGGAUAAGGACAGGUUGUCAUGGAGAAAAUCUAUGUGAUUCCUAAGAGUGGGUCAUGAUAUGAUGGGACAUCAUCAUCAUAAUAAUCAUCAUCACAUCCAGGAGGACUACUUAUUUCCUAAUCCUGGCAACUGGUACAGAUUUUCAGUUCAACUGGUGGCCUAUUCAUUAGUAAAUUGAUCAAAUAUCUUGAUGCCUUACUACUGAAUAAAAAUAAUCAAUACUUAUGUAUAUGUAGAUUGCCCUUUAAGUGUUAUUGCAAAGUGGCAAUGUGAACAGAUAUAUAGGAAUAAGGCAGUGAAUUAUAUAUAUAUAUAUAUGAACUUGGAUAUCCUCUUUGAUUCCCUCUUCUGUUCUUCAAUAUUUGGACUUGAUGUCAUCAGCUGGGCUUCCAUUUCCUUCUGGGUAAAAUUUGAAUUGUGUUUGUCACUUGGGUCCUCUAUAGUUUAACAGCAAGAUAUCUUCAGGGCUAACUUCUCUGGCCAGAAUCAAUCUGUCUGUCUCAUAUGCCCUACGAAAACUACAGGGGCCAUUGUAGCAGGGGGGUCAAUUUGUACAGAUAUUCAGCAACUCUGACAUUUGCCUUGAUCUGCCAGUCCUUUGUCAUUGAUGAGGAGAUGAUUGAAUUCUAUUCUGGGCUGCAUGUAAAUUAUGCUAUUGUUUCCUGUAAUUGAGCAAAACUCUUGCCCUACCGUAUGAACCUUGGAACAGAACACUGGGGAAGAUAAUUGUCAAUUUUAGUAUAAUUUCUUAUUUUCCAUAAUUUUUUCUCUGUUUUAUUUCUGUUAUGAUUUAGCAUAAUAUCAUCAUAUGUGAAAAUAUGCAUGCAUCUUUGUGCACAUUUCACCUAAUAUUUAUUUGAUUUAUGUGCUGCCUAUCUUGUCUAGAGGCAACUAUGGUGUUGUUCUUUUUUUUUAGUACCAAGUAUGGAACUCUUAAAUGAAGGACUGUACUCCAAGGACUGCAGAGCACAAUAUCAAAAAAUAUGUAUGUAUAACGUUGCAAAAAGGAGAGAAAAAUGAUGAAGCUUCUGCUUGAAAGAUGUGCUUGUGAAGAAUAAUAGUUGUAAAGAAAGCCUCCGAGUCAAAAAGCUAAGUAGGACAAGGAAGCUCUCAGAAAGCAACAGACAAGGGCCUAAAUGUUGUGGAGUAAUUUUUAAUGAUGGAACCACAGUUAUUUUUUAAUUAACUUAGACAUACAACAUUAUUUGUAUCUUUUAUAUUUUAUCUGUAAUCUAAUGAAUAGUGUCAUUCAAUGAAAAUGUAGGAGUUAAUAAAAUAAUGAUAUAUGUAUUCAAUUUA